rnacentral:lncRNA from 1 species
AGUGGACGAGAAUCACCGAGUCUGCGGGGCUGGACGCUGACCGCCCGGGCCAGCACCUAGGCGGGCGGGAGCUGUGCGGCCCAGGGUUCGCGCGGGCCGGGUAGAGGCUCGAGCCGGGACCCCCGAGCGUGAACCCCGGAGCCGGCGGCGCUGGGGCCAGAGGGGCCGGGCGGGAGGUGGUGGCGGAGGCGAAGGGGCGACAGGACCUGGGCCUGGCCCGUGUGUGUUCUCAGCGGCCUGGCGCCAGCCGUCGCUGUACGGUGAGCCCCAGGGAGGCGGAUCUGGGCCCCGAGAAGGACACCCGCCUGGAUUUGCCCCGUAGGCCCGGCCCGGGCCCCUCGGGAGCAGAACAGCUUUGGUGAGGUGGACAGGAGGGGACCUCGCGAGCAGACGCGCGCGCCAGCGACAGCAGCCCUCCCCGGCCUCUCGGGAGCCGUGGGGCAGAGGCUGCGGAGCCCCAGGAGGGCCAGAGCCCUCAUGACUUCAGUGACCUGCUUCUGCCCCUCUAGGUCUAUCAGCCACAGUCUCUGCAAGUUUCCAAGAGCAGCAGAAAAUGAACACAUUGCAGGCAGCAAAAUUUGGAUCUUGCUUGUUUUCAUCAGUCUAUUUCUGUCUCAUAAUUGGGGGCCAGUGUCAUUCAAAGAUGUGGCUGUGGAUUUCACCCAGGAGGAGUGGCAGCAACUGGACCCUGAUGAGAAGAUAGCAUACGGGGAUGUGAUGUUGGAGAACUACAGCCAUCUAGUUUCUGUGGGGUAUGAUUAUCACCAAGCCAAACAUCAUCAUGGAGUGGAGGUGAAGGAAGUGGAGCAGGGAGAGGAGCCAUGGAUAAUGGAAAGUGAAUUUCCAUGUCAACAUAGUCCAGGAGAUUGUCAGAAAUGGAGGAGGGGGCACCAGAUCCAAGGAAGUGCCCGGACAAAGCCGGGAGGCGAGGAGAGCCGACGGGGAGGAGGUGCCGAGAGCAUCAGCUGGGCUGCUCGGUGGCACGAAGACGCCCGCAGGGACUGGAGAGGUCGGCCAGGGCCAGGCUACUCAGGCACGGAGGGCCACCUCCCCUUCAGGGACGUGAGCAUCUAGCAGCACUGAUUUGUUGUUCAGGAACAGGAAAUGAAACCCCGCAGCUUUGAACACAAUAACCCACGCCAGCCUCAGGCUCAUGAAUAUUCAGCAGGCUGCUUGCGCCUUGCAACCCCGCCUCCGUUCCCC